rnacentral:miRNA from 5 species
AAAGUGCAUCCUUUUAGAGGUU